AGGGGUGGCCCUCCCGGCAGGAGAGGCCCCCAAGAGGCUCCCGGGAAGCCCCACCCCCGCCCUGGCGCAAUCCGGCCGCCCGGGGCGCUGUCCGCCCCGUCGAGUGCUGAAACUCCCCGCUCUGCGGGUCUCGGGAUGGAAUGCCCAGCCUGGCCCCGCAAUGGGGAGACCGACAGAGGCAGGGAGAACUUUCUUUUUUUCUCUUUUUAGUGAGUUCUCAUCUCCUCCCACCCCAAGAUGCUCAGGAUUUGGGGUGGGAGCAUAGCGAUGGCAUUGGGCUUGCUUUUUCUAAAUCUUAAAAGAUUUUGGAUCGAGUGGGGAUUGUGGAGGCUACCAGAUGCCCACCUGUCGGAGGUCACCAGGCAACCCUGUCCUGGGACGACCCCACUCCUCACAACAUCAGGACCUGAGGUCGCUCCCGAGACCAGGGAUCGGUAGGAGCCCAGAUUCAAGGGUGUGGACGAAGGAAGAUUCCUCGCCUUUGUUGGCUUGGCCUUGCCUUGCUGCAGAGCUGAUUGACGCUGCUGCUGCUGCUCAUGAUCAUGAUGAUGACGACGACGACGACGACGACGACGACGACGACGAUGAUGAUUUCUUCACUGGUUAUCAGAACCAGCGAUUUCAGGCAUCCAUCAUAAACUAAGGACCUUCAAGUCUCCAGGAACCUCCAGAUUUUUGGUGCCGGCUUGGGACUACUGAGACACCUCAAGGACCAAGAAACCACCAGAUUCUCAGCCUCAUGGUAUUGGGACUAUAUUCAGAGCACUGAGGACAACAAAAUAAACAAGACCAUUAAACUGUUGGAUGACCCUGGGUGGCCCAGUGUCCGAGUCUAGUCCCUCUACACAGCCCAGGCUGGCCUCACACUUGCCAUCCUCCUGCCUCAGCUGUGAGCCAGGGAACUCCAAGACACACAAGAGGAGUCAGCAAAAGGAGAAACCAAAGCCGCAGAGAUCAAGGGCUAGCAAGCGGAUGCUCCUGGUAUAUUUUCGUGAGAGCUCAAUUUCAGUGUCCUUCAGGCCUGGGGCUUCUCCUGCCUCCUCUCCUCUCCUCUCCUCUCCUCUCUGCUGUCCUUGGUUAGUGCUCCCUGCUGCCCUCCUCCCCCACAUCUCUCUUCUUAACCCUCCCUCCCAGCUCACCCAUUUAAGCCCUUCACUCCAGCUGUUCACAAUAAGGAACAAGCUCCCAGGGUGAGACCUGGUGGGACAGGACCUCCUCUUCACGCCGCCUCCCAGCUGCCGACCUCACCUCCAGACCCAGGAGCUCCCUCUUCAGAAUCACACAGAGGCAGUUCAUGAGCAAGGCCACUUUAAUAAGCGCGUGUCCAUCUGACAGCAUGACACAGAGUUUGAGCGCUGUGUUGAAACGGCAAGGCUGAGCCACUAUGCUGCUCAUGAAACACACUAUGACGCUGUGUCUAUUAAAAAUCACAAAAGCAUCCAAACUGAUGACGCCUGGGAUAGAUGCUCAGCGUAGGCUUCUCUAUCCGGAGACUGGGCUACCACCCACCCCCUGCCAUGAGCACUUCACCCCUCUUUUGGACCCCUCGCCCACAGUGGGUUCACCAAUGAGAAACCUGAGGAGAGACAUGGGUGAGGCCUCAGCCAGCCAGCACACUGGCUCAUCGAACCCAAGAGCACAGGCUCUGGGGCCCAGAGUCUUGACCUCCACUGUCCAGGGCCGGUUUAUUCUUCACAGUUCUACGGGGCGUGCAUGAUAUAGGCCCACUCCUGCCAGCCCUGGAAAAACUAGCGAAUCUGCUUAAAGGAGAACAUUUGAUGAACAGCAAAGAACAGCAGAAGCACAGUGAGACGGCCAGGGAACACCUCAUGUGAUCAAAUGGAAAACGGUAGCACGUCUUGCCACCCUGGGUACAGCCCGGAAUGGAGAGGUGCGAUCUGCCCGUGCAGGCGGCUAAUUCAUCUCUCCUCUCUAAGCUGCCAGCUCCUCCUGCCCUUCCUCUUUCUCCAGACAGUCUUGUGUAUCCUAAGCUGGCCUCAAACUCACUAUGUAGCCAAGUGUGACUUUUGAACCCCUGAUCCUCCUGCUUCUACCUUGCUGGGAUUCCGGGCGUGCACCACCAUAACCCAAUUUCUGCACAACUGGAGAUGAACUCGGGACUUUGUGCAUGCUAGCUAACCACUCGACGGGCUAAAUUCCCAGCCUAUUACAAAGAAGGAAAGAAAUGGAAAGGGGGAGGAAUUUAAAUGGGGGCAUGCGUGACACUGCUUCAGCUCCUCGGGUCCCGCUGGAGCUGCCUGGCCUUCACCAUCUUCCCCAUACUCGAUCCCCUCCUGAUUGUGACUGAGGAGGCGCCACCUUUAAAGGGAACUCAGCCCGUGGCUGAGCAGAGGUGAGCAUCUUGGGGACAGUCUAGUCUGAUUCAGUUAGGAUGGGGCUCUGAAGGGCUUCCCUCUCGCGCACCAGGACUGAAGCCUGUGAGACCUUCAGCAGCUAUUUCUGCCGCUUUCUUCCUCCCCUUCCAGCCGUGAGGAGGCAACUGGGGGUUGCCAUGGAAACGGGCUCAUCCUCCCACAGGAGGUUUGCCAGCUCUGAUUUCCUGCAAAGAUAAGAAGAAGCAGGCAGCAGUGGGGGGUCACCCAAGCAUGGAGAUGGGUUUCCCUGGGGAUGCCCAGACUCCUGCCAAUCACACUGUCUAUCCGGGAAUCCCGAGGGUGCCUGGAGACCCAGGGCCAGGGAAGCCUCCCAGACCUGGCUCUGCUCCGAGGGGUGAGCCCCUGGAACACAUGGGCGCAGGGCCUCUUCUGUCUUUCCGGUUAGUUAAAAGGACCUCAUCACAGAUGUGCCUGUCUCUCAUAAGCUGCACCAUGUUUGGGUGUUCCUGGCUGCCAGCUCUCUAAUGCCAAACAGAAGUGUCCUACCGCCACCCCUGGAGCCCUAGGCAUGAAGAACAGACUGCCCACCCAACAUCUGCUUCUAGGAGAGGUGUGUGGGCUGAGCUCUACUGGCAAGAGCUGUGUGACCCCAGGCAAGUCACUUAACCUCUCUGAGCUGGCUUUCUCCUCUGGAAAGCUGGCAUAACACCCUAUCUUCUCCAGGAUGCUGUGCAGAAUGGAAAUAGAGGUCUGCUGUGCCCAUCUCAGCACUUAAAGGCACUUGGAAUGCUGGGUAUGGUGGCGCACACUUUUAUCCCAGAACUUGAGAGGCAGAGGCAGGUGGAUCUCUGUGAGAUCAAGGUCAGCCUGGUCUACAUAGUAAGUUCCCGAGAGAUCCUGCCUCAAAAAUAAAAUAAAAUAAAAAUAAAAAGAAUAAAGACACUUGGGAAACAAGGCCUAAUAGCAGUGAGCACAUUUGCAGUUACAGGGAGGUUUGCAAGCCACGGUGCCCUUGAAGUCAGCCUGAAAUGGACACAAAGGUGAGUUUUCACCACUGACCUGGGCAAAGGCUGUGGUGGCCAGAGUCAGGUGAGCAGUGUGGCCCGAGGACAAGCUGUCUGGUUCCUUCACUUCAUCCACCAGUGCCCCCAAGAGUCAGAACAGGGGCACAGACUCCAGUGCUUUCGGGACCAGAAGGGACUAGGGGUGCCAAUGCUGACUCGGCCAAAACCUCAUUCAAGGAAGGAAUGCUGGGGCCCCAGGCAGAGCUACUCUUGGGACCGUUGGCCCCGUGUGGCCAGGGCAUCCACAGGAAUCCUCCACAUAAUAUGAUCUCUACUGUGUGGUUUGACCGGAUCUUUCUAUGUAGCCCUGGCUGUCCUGGACAAAGCUCUGUAGACCAGGCUGGCCUAGAACUCACAGAGAUCCUCCUGCCUCUGC